AUGAACGCUGGCGGCGUGCCUAAUACAUGCAAGUCGAGCGAACAGAUAAGGAGCUUGCUCCUUUGACGUUAGCGGCGGACGGGUGAGUAACACGUGGGUAACCUACCUAUAAGACUGGGAUAACUUCGAGAAACCGGAGCUAAUACCGGAUAAUAUUUCGAACCGCAUGGUUCGAUAGUGAAAGAUGGUUUUGCUAUCACUUAUAGAUGGACCCGCGCCGUAUUAGCUAGUUGGUAAGGUAACGGCUUACCAAGGCGACGAUACGUAGCCGACCUGAGAGGGUGAUCGGCCACACUGGAACUGAGACACGGUCCAGACUCCUACGGGAGGCAGCAGUAGGGAAUCUUCCGCAAUGGGCGAAAGCCUGACGGAGCAACGCCGCGUGAGUGAUGAAGGUCUUCGGAUCGUAAAACUCUGUUAUUAGGGAAGAACAUACGUGUAAGUAACUGUGCACGUCUUGACGGUACCUAAUCAGAAAGCCACGGCUAACUACGUG
rnacentral:rRNA from 1 species